rnacentral:rRNA from 1 species
CAGCCGCCGCGGGAAUACAGAGGGAGCUAGCGUUGUUCGGAAUUACUGGGCGUAAAGCGCGCGUAGGCGGUUACUCAAGUCAGAGGUGAAAGCCCGGGGCUCAACCCCGGAACUGCCUUUGAAACUAGGUGACUAGAAUCUUGGAGAGGUCAGUGGAAUUCCGAGUGUAGAGGUGAAAUUCGUAGAUAUUCGGAAGAACACCAGUGGCGAAGGCGACUGACUGGACAAGUAUUGACGCUGAGGUGCGAAAGCGUGGGGAGCAAACAGGAUUAGAGACCCCUGUAGUCCCUGUCUCUUAUAC